rnacentral:lncRNA from 1 species
CUUGGAGAAAGGGAAAACAAAGGGACACAUUAAAUCAAUCAAAAUGCUGCCUUAAAACUUUCACAGCUUCCUUGCACUUAGCAAUUCUGGGGCUUCAGCCACCAAACAGGUUUUAUUUAAAAAACGAGUGUCCUCAAUUUCCUGCAGUUUGCGUUCCAGGCCCAUCCUCGCUGCCUGCCUUCCCUGCGCACAAGCCGAAGCCCAGGCGAGGGGCAGCAAGCGCGCACAUUCUCUCAGUCGUUCUCUACCACUUCCGUACCCAAGACGUAGGGCGAAAUCUGGUGUCCAGGUCAACCCCUGAAACGGCAAGACGAUCAUUCUCAGACUAAGCUUCCGGAUGCUAGGACCACCAAGAACCCCGAGGCAGAGCCCCCUGCCUCCAAGGCUGACACUCGGGCUGCAGAGACGGAGGGAUACAUUCCAAAGGAAGAGAAAAUGGACUAGGCGCCAAAAGCCUGCAGGGCUGCAGGGCUCCCCAGAGGUGCAAGUUGUCAAGAGUGAGGGCAAAGCAAACCUGAGCUCGAGCAGAGGCAGCUUCCAGAAGACGGGACGUCAAGCCCCAAGGAAACGCACAGGGGAGAAGCGCUGAGACUCAAGAAGGACCCCGGACGGUGCACGAGGGGUGCGAGCACUGGCUCUUAAAUGCCCCCCCCACCCUUCUCCAAAGAAAUGAGGAAAAUCAGACAACGUGCUGAGGUUCUCACGGUGCUCAACGCAUUGUUUUUUUUAGGUUAAAACGUCCUCCUUUUAGAUGAAAUGAUCAAGACAGGAGAUGGUUGGGACUGGUUUUUAAUGCCCUUGCUUGGCAAAUGGAAAAGUCGGCGACUCCAUGUGUCACUGCCCAAGACUGGCCUUAGGUCUCGGCCAUGCAAGCUGAGUCCUUGGGAGCCAUCAGACGACACCAGGCGCUGGGCGAAGGGGCCGGAGUGGAGUGGCAGGACUGGCAGAGAUGGGCCGGCGAAACGAUGCCGGGGUCAAGGCUCCAUCUCAGAGGGACGAACUUUACCCUAUGGCUGUGGGAACCCACAGCCCCCCUUUGAAAAAAACUCUGCGAUGAAAUAACCUUAACCAUAUUUUUUAAAACUCUUGGCAGCAGUUUUAAAAAAUCGAUGAUUAGAGGCAUAUAACCCACGCAGGAGGCUACUGCAGUGCAGUCUCAGGGCCCGAGACGAGCCGCGUGGAGGUCAGGAAGACACCUCCCAGGGCCCAACCUGGCUGCGAGCAGCGAGGGCGAAGGUCAGGGAGGUGCUGGGCUUCCCGCUCGGGCCAGAGAGCGGGCCGGGGAGGCGGGUCACUGCGAUGCCGGAAAAACUCCCAGUACAGGAGAGAACAAAGAGAAUCCAGCAGGAAGGGACUGGUUACUGAGUAGCAGGAUUAAGCAAGGAGUUCUGUUUAAAAAAAAACAAAGACUGUCCCUGGCCAGAAAGGAGCAGAUGGGAAAAAGGAGAAGGUUCUGGAGGAGUGGGAAAGGCAGACCGGGCGCCCGCCAGGCACAGGAAGAUGAAACACUUGUGGUUGAACGGAAUACAUAACAUAUGUAGCCAUAUAAAUGUACGUAUUCAUUGUCAAAUUGGCCGCUGAUGCGGGGGAAAGAGCUUGAAAAGCCUUCACGUAGAGGUUACAAGUCUACACAAAACUUCACCAAAUACAAAACAAGAGAAAAACAAAACCCAUCUUUCUCUCUCUUUCAAAGAGCCUCCCUAUAAAACAAACACGUCAGAUGCUGGGUAAAACAUUUUACUGAAUCAACGUGGUUUAGAGCAGCACCAUCCAGUUCAAAGCUGGCCAUGCCCAAGGCAUGCAGAAAGUUCCCAGGCCGGAGAUCAAACCCUCACCACAGCAGUGACCCAAGCCGCUGCAGUGACCAUGCCAGAUCCUUAACCCGCUGCACAACCAGGGAACUCCAUCUGGUAGCUUCAAGCCACCCCUGGAAGCUGAGCACUUGACAGGAGGCUAAUGUAACUAGGGAACUAAAUUUUAAAAGGUUAUUUAAGUGGGAGUUCCUGUCGUGGUGCAGUGGUUAACGAAUCCAACUAGGAACCAUGAGGUUGUGGGUUCGAUCCCUGGCCUUGCUCCGUGGGUUAAGGAUCCAGCGUUGCUGUGAGCUGUGGUGUAGGUUGCAGACGCAGCUCGAAUUCUGCGUUGCUGUGGCUCUGGCGUAGGUCAGCAGCUACAGCUCCGAUUUGACCCCUAGCUUGGGAACCUCCAUAUGCCACGAGAGCGGCCCAAGAAAUGGCAAAAAGACCAAAAUAAAUAAAUAAAUAAAUAAAUGGUUAUUUAAGUUAAAUUUAAGCAGCCCCAUGUGGCUAGCAGGCUGCUGUAUUGGACAGCGUAGGUCUAUGGUAUUUUUUUCUCUAGUAAUCUUGAGUGAACAGGUUGUAGUCCUUAGCUUAUUUGGGGCAUGGAGGGGAGAGUGCAUAAAUUUUUUUAGGGCCGCACCCGAGGCAUAUGGAGGUUUCCAGGCUAGGGGUCCAAUCGGAGCUACAGCUGUCGGCCCACACCACAGCCACAGCAACGCCAGAUCCAAGCCGUGUCUGUGAGCUACACAGCAGCUCAGGGCAACAGCUCAUGGCUGGCUCAUGGCCGGAUCCCUAACCCACUGAGCGAGGCCAGGGAUCAAACCCGCAACCUCAUGGUUCCUGGUCGGAUGGUUUCCGCUGCGCCACAACGGGAACUCGGAGAAUCCAAAAUUUGAUCAGAUUUUCAAACCUUCCCUUUUCUUGCGAGGAUAAGCUGAACCACGUAAUUCACGUCGGAUACAUGGCCAUCAUUCAGCAAAUGUUAGAGCAGUCAACUCCCCUGCCCCCGCCCCCCGCCGCACCCCAUGCCUGCUGUGAACAGUUAUAAUUUGAGGACAGAACUCCUCCCACAGAAAGGAGGGUCAGGAGCGCCAUCGCUCCAAGCGUCUGUCUGUGUCACGGUGUUUACGUGGUUUAAUCCAGAAAUAACUCAGGGAUCCAAGGAGCUUCCUGAUGCCGUUAGGCUGAAACCGAGUACAUCAGGUCACCAUCUCGAGGCCGCCAAAGGCACUGAGGGGGUUUUCUGUAAGAUCCGUGGGUACAGGUGCGAAUGCGGCCCGAGCACUACCCAUUCCUGGGACUCUGAAAGGGGUCCCAGAAUAGGGGGUGGCCUCUCAUGGAGGGUAUUUGUUUUGCAAGUAACCAAAGGGAAUGGGGGCGUCAGUGAGCUUUUUAAAUAGAAACCAAGAAUUAAAACUGAGUCCCUCUGUGCACCAAAAUGUCCUUGCUUAAAUUGCAAGGCGUAAGUAAAAUAAAUUGGCUAUAAAAGGGAGGAUUAUAUCAACUGUAAAAUUCGACCCGGGGACUAGGAAAAGUGACUGUGAUUAAAAGGUGUGUGUGGUGGGGGUGGCUUGAUCCUUGUUUUCUCAUGUGUCCUUUGAAGGUGAAAACGAACCAAUUUUCUCUGGCCUUCAAGCUGUCAAAGAGGUUGAAAAAAAAAACAAAACCUGUCUGAAAAAUAAACAAAUGGGACCUGCAAUCUCCCUUCAGGAGAUGGGGAGAAAAUACUCCAUCUAAAGCCCUUAAGUAUUUCCUGGUGACUUUACCUCAAUUAGUAACUAUCCACUCGCUAUGAGACUGGGGGUAGGGGUGACAGGUGGGUGCCAGAGGUGUUCCCGAUCACCAGCUAGGUGAGAAGAAAGAAGAAAACGUGAGACGCUAAGAGAAUUCAGUGUUGACUGUGCAAGACAAUUUUACGGCCAGAAAACCCACUAGCAUGUGCUAAGUGGAGGGGCCUCCAAGGUGGAAGAGGCUGGUGGGGCUGAGGCCAGAAAGGACCACGAGGAGGCCGGAGCCCGUCCUGCUUUGUGGGAGCCAGGAGCGGGCGGGGGGGCGGGGAGUGGGGUGGGCAGGAGGGGGUGUGGGCUCCGGGCGGGCGUGAGGAUGACGUCAGCUUUGAGGAAACCUGUUUGAACAUGGUAUGGGGCAGCAGGGGAGGGAGGCCAGGCUCGAAAUGGGAACAAAGGGAACAGAGGGAAAGAUAAACCUGAAAGCCUCUCAAAGAACUGCAGAGACCUGGGGGUGGCGGGUAACACUGCAGAGCAGAGAGCUGAGCAGGAAGUCACUCUGGCCACAAGCUCCACUGCCCAGGGCACCAGAGCGGGGAUGGGAAGAGGUUUUCGACUGUUAAGGUGGUACACUCGGCAAGUGCAGAGAUGGAGUGGGGUGAGAAGGGAAGGUCUCGGGACGAGGGGACCAGGGUACGGGGAGCAAUCAGGCUCAUGAGUGCAGGUGGGCUCGAACCCACCCUGGGGCGGGGGGUGGGGGCCGAGAUUCAGAGACAAGAGGGUCCAGAAGAGUGCCCAUUCUGAGCCGCAGACACAGGAACAAAGGCUGGCGGGCACGAGGUCCCCAGGAAGGGGGAGGACCCGGUAUCCUAAUAGAUGGGAAAACAUGAGCAACAAGGGGGCAUAAAGCGCUUCUGAGUCCGAAAGAUGCAAGAAUCAGGAAAACACCUGGGGGAGCUGAAGGCAGCUCACAGUGGAAUGGCCUUAACCUUGAGCACACAGUAGGCACUUAACUAUUCUACCGAUUAGCAAUCUCAAAACAGGCAACAGGUCGUAUGCUGUGCGUAGGAGGAGGAGAAAGGGGAACUGAUGCCUUCAGGAGCAAAGGAGCCCAGGGAGCCUGGGAAGAGACUGCGGGAGGGGUGGUAAAUCAUGAGCCAUUUACCACCCCAUGCUCUCGAGGGGCUGGGGUCAACACGGCUUGGGGGUCGGGUGGCCCUCUGGAGCCUCCUACUCAGGCUGAGUCUGGCAUCCUCCUUCCUACUCUGGAUGGGUGGCUGAGGAGAAGGGAGGGAAACCGUGUUAUUUCAAAUGGCUGCAUCUUUUAUUCCUGCUAUUUGAGACAAGCCUGGUAUGUUUCCUCCAAGAGAUGCCCAAUCCAUUCCAUCUACUCACAGCAAGGGCACCAGGUCUCCCAGAGGAGGGAAAACCUUGGCUUUCAUAGGUCCCCCCACCUCCACCCGCAAGGCUGAACUUUGCAACUCCAACCCAGAAUCACCCCGGUGCAGGACACAGCCAGGAAGCCUGCACAGGACCAAGGCGCACGGCCCAGCCUGAGCAUGCGUCCUCCAAGGUCAGCUGGUCCCAGCAAAUCUGCACGCAGGGCUCGCCGAUUCAAUUACUGUGAGUUCAGUUGCUCUUUUUUAGGUCAGUUCUUUCUUCUUUUGUUUAGAUCUGACUCAAGAUUUACUACAAUUAUCCGCACCUCUGUGAGAGGACCUAAACAAAUUAAACUGUUCAAAGUGAUGAAGGCAACGGGAAACAAGAACCUGGAUCUUUAAAAAAAUACACAAAUGGUCUCCUCCCUCCCCCUUCACUAUCUUCCUUCUCUUCAAUUACUCAAGUAGACUAGCAACUGUUUCUCUCAGGAAAACUCUUGACUCUAAGUCUGAAUGUGAAAACCUUGUGGUUAAGCCCUGGCUUGCAGCAGACUAAAAAUUUCAGCAAUUCUGGAAUGAAAUGUUAUGUUCAGAGCAACACGAAGCACCGCAGCUGUUCCAGCCAACACGAAAACCGAAAGGGGUGAUGCUAUCUUUAUCCUCUACCUACAGGCAGGGCUGCCCGGGGACCAGCUCAGUCCUAGGCUGCUAAAGCACAGGGACAGGAGCAGCAAAGGAGCACAGGGGCCAGCUGAGCCACCGAAGCGGCCACACACAACAGACCCACCUGGAAGAGAGAAAAUGCAGUUCAUCACCACAAACUUGAAAACGAUGCAAGGAAACACAGCUGCUUGAAAAGCCGUUCUCAAUGCUGCUUGGAAAAUCCUUUUCAAUCAGCUCGAAACUCAAAAAGAUCAGAUUGCAUCUAACUCGACCUGAAUUGCCCAAGUGGAAGGAGACCCCUUUUAUCCAUUUUCUUGGGAAAAAAGACACAGUCGUCUAUUCACACUCAGAAAGCUCGUCCUGAGACCACCUCGUGGAAGCAGCCCCAGAGGCGCGUCUUAGCAGACAGAUGAUGAUGGAAACUGGAAGAAGACUCAGAAGGGACGGGGCUGAGAACAGGGCACUCUCACGGCCAAAGCUUGCCCACCGGUUAACGGAGGAAAGUGCUCCUGGUGUGACGGACCCAGGGCCCGCUGAGCAAACACCUCCCACCAGCAACCUCGUUCGGCCUCUGCCAGGCCCUGCUCGGGUCUAAGCGCCUGGGCCGCACGACUGCCUGGCACACACCCCCAGGACUGGCCACGGCCGUCACAGCCCACAACACACGCAAACCACCAACGAAUGAAGCUGUGGUGAGGGGGCGCAGCUCGCCGGGGCACUGCCACCAACACCCCACGCUUCCUGCUCAUUCGGGCAGACUGUCUCCAUUCCGGAGAAAGUGGAAAAACUUCCACAGGGUUGCUACCCUGUGAUGGGCAGGCAGCAUCGCACCACAGGGAAGGAGUGGACGCCAGGGGCUGCACUGCUCGGGUUCGAAUCCUGCCUCUUCCCCUCCUCUGCCGUGGCGGCACCGCUCCUGGUUACAGAGCCUCUCUGCCUCAGGUCCCCCACCUGCAGAGGCGGGGUGCGGGCCGCUGCGAAGCAGGUACAUACAGUCUGGGACCUCGUGCAAACGCCCCACGUGCCUGCUGUUCCCAGCACGGCUCCCACUGAGCAUCCCGUGCUGUGCAGGCCCAGCAACAAGCGCACAGCAGCACUUUAGGGCUGAUCCACCACCAGUUCAACAGGUGCUGAAGACAUUCGGUUCCCCCAAGACGGUGGUUCUCAAACUUUAGCAGCAAGCAUCCAGAGCGACAACCGCAACAGAUUUCUGGGCCCCGCCUCCAGUUUCUGACUCAGAAGGUCGGGGGUGGGGCCUAAGAAUUUGUGUUUCUAACAAGAUCCCAGGUGAUGGUGCUGCUGCCCAUGCUGGUCUGAGGCUGCAGCCCUCAGAGAAGCACUGCUCUGAGGACCGGUUACUCCUGGUAUUCUGUGCUGCAGGCCUAAGCCUUACCUAGCUUAUUUAUCUGCACAGUGAGCCAGGAGGAGAUAAAAUAAGGUGAAUGGCGCAGCAGUUUAUGGCUCAGAGAAUACCCACGUGUUCUUUCACGCCACCUAGCACCCCUGCGCCUCUGCAUGUGGCAGAUCAUGUGAUAUGUUCUGACCAAUGGGCUGUGAGCAAGUUGCGGCCUGCUGGCUCUCUGCUGGCAGCGAGAACCUGGAGGGAUGUGUGUGUGCCUGGACUCUGGGUCAGUGCCUGGACUCUGGGUCAGUGCCUGGAAGGGAGCUAUUCUAGAGAGCUGCUGGGCCUUCCCAGGAAAGGCAGCGACAUUCUGUGGGUUGAGCCGCUGAGGUUUUAAAGUUUGUUUGAUAAUUCAGCACAGCUUAGAUGAACCCCAUUAAAACAAUUCCUAUCAUCGUUAUAAAAUGCACCUUCCCAUCGGUCUUCAGUCCAACCUAUCAAACCCAGGUGUUGAUUGUAACAAAAUCAGUUAGCUAGGAUUUCUACCGUCCUCUCAUUCGCUUGGAUUCAACAAAAAGAUGAGUUUUUUCUUUGAUCCUCCCAUAUUGGGUCCAUUUUUCACCAGAUAUAAAAAUUCUUCUCUGCAACAUGAUGUAACAGUUGCCAGUAAUUUGGAAAGUUAAAUAUGCUAAGAAGCGUUGAAAACUUGAAAAGUAAACAAUGAAGGACUCAGACCAAAAGCCCCAUGAAACAAAGUAGGUAUGCACGCGCGCACGCGCACACACACACGCACACAAGACAUCAGAAUCCCUUGACAGGCCAGAAGGCAGGCCAGAAGGAAAAGGUUUCAAAUGUAUUAAAUCAUAGGCAAAUUAAGAUCCUGUUUUGCCCAAAGAGGAGAAGGUGAUCUCUUUAUGGUAAAAGCAUCACCACGUAAUCACAAAACCACUUGUUGAAAAAAAAUCCUAAUUUCUAGUCGACCUAGGAAAAUCUGCAACCUAACACGCAGGUGAUGAACUGCCGUCUGCUACCUUCCAGAUUAUGUGGAAUUAAACAUCAUAAAGAUGCUCCUCUUAUAAAAAAAACUGCC